UACGUAGGGUGCAAGCGUUGUCCGGAAUUAUUGGGCGUAAAGAGCUCGUAGGCGGUCUGUCGCGUCGGCUGUGAAAACCCGGGGCUCAACCCCGGGCCUGCAGUCGAUACGGGCAGGCUAGAGUGUGGUAGGGGAGACUGGAAUUCCUGGUGUAGCGGUGAAAUGCGCAGAUAUCAGGAGGAACACCGAUGGCGAAGGCAGGUCUCUGGGCCACUACUGACGCUGAGAAGCGAAAGCAUGGGGAGCGAACAGG
rnacentral:rRNA from 1 species